rnacentral:tRNA from 1 species
GGGAUGGAGCAGUCUGGUAGCUCGUCGGGCUCAUAACCCGAAGGUCGUUGGUUCAAAUCCAGCUCCCGCAACCA